rnacentral:rRNA from 1 species
GUUUGAUCCUGGCUCAGAAUCAACGCUGGCGGCGUGCCUAACACAUGCAAGUCGCACGAGAAAGGGGCUUCGGCUCUGAGUAAAGUGGCGCACGGGUGAGUAACACGUGAAUCAUCUACCUCCGAAUGGGGAAUAACUGAGAGAAAUCUUAGCUAAUACCGCAUAAUACCUACGGGUCAAAGCAGCAAUGCGUUUGGAGAGGAGUUCGCGGUCGAUUAGUUAGUUGGCGGGGUAAUGGCCCACCAAGACGAUGAUCGAUAUCCGGCCUGAGAGGGCGCACGGACACACUGGAACUGAAACACGGUCCAGACUCCUACGGGAGGCAGCAGUGGGGAAUUUUGCGCAAUGGGGGAAACCCUGACGCAGCAACGCCGCGUGGAGGAUGAAAUAUCUUGGUAUGUAAA